rnacentral:misc_RNA from 1 species
GCAAACUUGGUCAUUUAGAGGAAGUAAAAGUCGUAACAAGGUUUCCGUAGGUGAACCUGCGGAAGGAUCAUUCACAAUAAGUGUUCAAUGGGCACUUGAAAUCCAUUACCCACCUUGUGUGCAAUGUCGUGGGGGAGAGGGUCAAUCCUCUCCUCUUCUCAUUCAUACCUCUUUGCAGUUAUCAGUCUACAAUCAUUCGAGUGUAAAAAACUCUAAUACAACUUUCAACAACGGAUCUCUUGGCUCUCGCAUCGAUGAAGAACGCAGC